rnacentral:rRNA from 1 species
UACGUAGGUGGCAAGCGUUGUCCGGAUUUACUGGGCGUAAAGCGCGUGUAGGCGGCUUUGCAAGUCGGGUGUGAAAGCCCUCAGCUCAACUGAGGAAGUGCGCCCGAAACUGCAGAGCUUGAGUGCCGGAGAGGGUGGCGGAAUUCCCCAAGUAGAGGUGAAAUUCGUAGAUAUGGGGAGGAACACCGGUGGCGAAGGCGGCCACCUGGACGGUAACUGACGCUGAGACGCGAAAGCGUGGGGAGCAAACAGG